GUUUUUAACUGGAUUCUGAAAAUUUGGUACUGUAUUAUUCUUCAUAAUAAUGUUAAUUUAUAACUUUGCAACUAGAAGUGGAAAUUUAGUUUGGUAAAAAGAAUUAUUGGGUUUUUGCAGAUUUUAUAUAUCAAUCAUAUAGCAGCAUAUGCAAUUGUUGGCUUUUGAAACUAAUUCAAUAUGAGUUAGAAUUGAGAAUUGUGUUCUUGUGAUAAUACAUGCAGAUUUCUUGUCUUUAUAAAGAAUUAGAUUAUAAAAUUUCCUAAUUUCAAAAUUGCUAUUAUGUCAGGCUAAGUCUUAUUGGGGUACAAAUAUAUAUAUAUUGGGGUCGGGAUCCGGUGAGAACCACUUCCUAUGUGAGAACUCAUCCCAUAUAUGAGAACAAAUCUCAUCCAUUAGAUUGUAUUAAUCCAACAACUGAGAUUGUUCCACUAAUAAUGACAAUAAUGUAAUUCUCAAAAUAAACAAAUCAGCCCCCAAAACCCGUACAAUUUUGUAUACUCCUCUUCUCUCUCUUCAAAGCUUGAAGGUGGGAUUUCUCUCUCCUCUUCUUCACUGCUGCAUAAUUUCAAGUGGCAUUACGAUGGAGAUUAAAAAUUGAAGAUCGACGAUUUCUCUCUCCUCUUCUUCACUGCUGCAUAGUUUCAAGUAUAUUCGAGCUCAUUGACGAUUGGAGAGAUUUUCUGCACUGUUUUACUACCGUUUAUUACAAUCAUUUAUAAGCUUAGUAACGCUAUUUCUCAUUGCUUCGAAUUGGAUCCUCCAAGUAAUCAUAAGCAAGUUCACACGACCUUACUUGCCUUGCUCGUGAAUCUCAAUGUUAUGGCAAAUAUCAACAAAUAUUAGAUUGAUGAACCUCAAACUCUCAAAGUGCCGAAGAAUAUAUCAAAGGAGUUGAAAAUUUUCUUGAUUUUGCGUUUCAACAUUCAACCAUGGAUGCUGAGGAAGAUGAUGAACCAGAAAUUAGUUAAGUGCCCAAAUCAAAUAAAUAUGAAGUUCAGUGGGUCAUAUCUCAUCUUGGCCUAGGUUGCUUGGCUCAAAGCUUCUUGAAGCAAUUCAUCCAAGUGUGGUUGUACUUUAUUUGCUUUUGUAACUUUUUUUCGUGUUUUAAUUUAAUCUAUUUGUGAGUUCUUCUACCUUCAAAGCAUUCUCUUACUGGACAUAUCAUAUUCUACCUUUUCUUGCAUUCUUGACUGACAUGUACUUUAUAUUUCCCCCCUUUUAUGGUUCACAGGCUUGCAAUCGUUAUAGGGUUUCAGAAACUGUUUUUGGUGCUGGUAUAACCUCUUGAACUAGCUUCUGACCUUUGCUUGUAGUUAUAUUAGAUCAGGUUACGAAUGUUGGAGAAGAUGUUAAGAGUUUUCCUACAGCUAUCCACCCACAACAGCAGGCAGCCGCCAGCAGCAGGUAGCAGGUAGCAGCCAACUGCCAGUAGCAGCAGGGAGCAACCAGCAAUAAGCAGGCAGCAGGCAUCCAUAUGCCACAGGCAACAGCAGGCAGCCACAAGCCACAGGCAACCGCAGGCAGCAGCUUGUAGAUAUUGGUGUAUUAUCAUAUCUUGCUUAGAUUAGGUAAAAAUGUGCUGAAUUUACGUCAUGCUUAGUCAAGCAUUCUAGCUUUAGCAGUUUUGGUUUGGUUUGAUUGCAAAAGUAAUGGUUAAUUUGUACUUUAGAAUAGGAAUUUUUUUGAGAAAUUUUUUAUUUUGGGCGAAAUCAUGUUGGUAACUAAAAUUAGAUAUGUAUGUAUUAGAAAUUCUCACAAAUAUAUGGUAUAUAUCCCAAUUAGACACAAAUAUUAUAAGGUCGUGGGAUUUUGUGAGUUGAUUGAUAUCUUUACUGCUGCCAUGUCAGAUUUAGGAAUUAUAACUUUUAAGAAUUAGAUUUUGGGUUGAAACAAUGAUGUAUUUAUUUUUUUGUAUAAAAUUUGUUAUAUAAACUUGAUUUUUGUAAGAAGCAUUUCCAUGUUCUUUAUCAAAGUGAAUUGUAAGUGUCAAGUUCCAAUUUUCAUACUAAAGAUUCAACCUGUGUAUUUGAGAUUUUGAGGUAUAAUAAAGAAUAUAACAUAUGCUCUCUUGUUUGGGCCCUAGUAUGUCAUGU